AGCUGUUCCUGAAUCACUGAGUGUGUGGUUUCAGGCUCCUGUACCUCCUCCCUGAUGGUAGCAAUGAGAAGAGGGCAUUUCCUGGGUGAUGGGGGUCCUUAAUGAUGGAUGCCACCUUUCUGAGGCAGCGCUGCUUGAAGAUGCCCUGGAUACUACAGAGGCUGGUGCCCAUGCUGGAGCUGACUGAGUUGACAACUCUCUGCAGCUUACUGUGAUUCUGUGCAAUAGCCCCCACCCCUCCGCCCCCCACCCCACCAUACCAGACGGUGAUGCAGCCAGGUAGAAUGUUCUCCAUGGGUUGAGUGAAGAGACCAAUAAAAUGGCAUCUGCUGUGGACCUGUUGCUCCAGCAGGUAACCUGGAGCGGACCCAAGGCACCACUCGGGAGGGAGUUGAUAUGUUUCAUCACCAACCUCUCAAAGCACUUCAUCACGGUGGAUGUCAGUGCUAUUGGACGACAGUCACUGAGGCAGGUCACCACGUUCUUCUUGGGCACCGGUGUAAUGGAAGCCUGCUUGAAGCGAGUGGGGUGGUGGAGGCUGUCGUAUUGGAUAUAUUAAAGAUGCAAAUCGAUGAAUAUUUGAAAGAUCGAGGAAUUGAGGGUGAUGGGGAACUGGCACCAAAGAGGAGCUGAGGCCAGGUUCAGGAACAGCAACUUCCCUUCAGCCAGUCGGUUCCUGAACCAACCAGCACAACCCUAAUCACCCCCUCAGUACACCAUACUGUGACCACUUUGAUCUCUUUGGACUACAAUGAGCUAUCGUUUCUUUCCUUUGUUCAAAGUUCAAAGUAAGUUUUAUUAUCAAAGUAUACCUAUGUCAAAACAUACAACCCUGAGAUUAAUACUGAGGGCAUACUGAGCAAAUCUGUUGAAUAGUAACUACAACAGGAUCAAUGAAAGAUCAGAGCAACACACACAAAAUGCUGGAGGAACUCAGCAGGCCGGGUAGCAUCUGUUAAAAAAAAGAUACAGUCGAUGUUUCGGGCCAAAACGUAUCUGCCUCUACCAUCACCUACGGCAGUCCAUUACAUGCAUCCACCGUUCUCUGUGUAAAGAACUUACCUCUGGCAUCCCCUCCCCAUACUCUCCUCCAAACACCUUUAAGGUCCUGAAGAAGGGUCUCAGCCUGAAAUGUCGAUUGUUCACUCCUUUCCAUAGAUGCUGCCUGGCCUGCUGAGUUCAUGAGUGUUUUGUGUGAGUUCCUUAAAAUGAUGCCCCCUUGUAUUAAUUCUGUUAUUUCUUGUGAAAUUUGUGUGUAAUUUGUGGUUAUGCUUUUCUUCUGAAUAGUGCAUACCUGCUGCUCUGUGCCCGAGAUGCCCCUGCUUGUAAGUUUCUCGUUGCACCUGUGUGCACGUGGACUUUCGCAUGUGACAAUAAACUCGAUCUUCGCUUGAUCAUAUUGAACAGUCUUGAAGGGCCGAGUGGCCGAAUGGUGCUCCUGGAAUGUGUUCCCAGCCAUCAGUCCACAGUCCACAACUCCAUCAUUAUGUGCUGUAUCGUAUGAUAUGAGCGAUCAUGGUCUUUCCAUAACCAUCAUUGCUCUUGGCAAAUUUUUCUACAGAAGUGGUUUGCCAUUGCCUCCUUUUGGGCAGUGUCUUUACAAGACGGGU